CCUAUGAGGGAAUCAGACACCCCCAGCAGCUGCUGAGAUUCCCUAGGAUUGGGAAAUCUGCUUCCAUUGUAGAAAGUGCUGAUUCCAGUGCACCAACCAGAAUCAGCUCUGGCAGCUCUGGCUGCCAAGUCAUCUCUUUUCUGUGCUCUCCUGAUGCCUGCAUGACCAACUGCUUGCCAGGAAGCUCUUGGAAAUACCUCCUCCUCCCUGGCUGCUGCAUCACUGGCAUCUCUUACACACACAGAGCCCACCACACCCACACCUCCCCCUCCUGCAGGGAGCACUACCAGAUGCAAAGUUAGAAAUGCAAGGAGCAUUCUCCUUUUCAUGUCUAGGAAAGGCUUUUUACUCUGUAAAUGCUCCUUGAACAAAACAGCAAAAGGCAGUGAGUAAGGCACCUGAUGACUAAAAUAAUUCAGGUUGUGGGAAGCAGCAGGAUUUGAUGUUGAAUACAAAUCUGAGUGUGGUUCACUUCACCCAGCUCCAUCCAUGUGAAGUAAAGCAUUCAGCCUCAACAAGGCACCAAGUCCCGAGCUGCUGGCAGAGGGGACAAGCACCAAGAGCUGACUCAUCCCGCCUCACUUUGUUCUGCUGGGCUGGAAUGAGCUGUCCUUUGAAGUUGCUUCCUAAUACCACUUCCUAAUACUCAGCAAAACAUGUAGAGAAUCUGGAGAGGGCAGUUUAUUGAUGUUAGACAGUUGAAGUUAGGUAAGAUAAAGCUAACACUGAUUCACUGCCAUGCGCCAAGGACCACAGGUCCAUAGGAUCACAGAUUCCAUGGUUCACUUAACCUUGUUCCAGUCUGCCCAUAUACUCAGAAUGUCUUAGCAACUUUUUUUUCUCUUUAUAGGUGGCAUUUGUAGCAGAUUUUUGGCUCAUUACCGCUCCUUUUGGAAUAGAAAAAGGGAGACAGCUACUCUACAGACCACCUUGGGAAUCCCUACCCUUCAGUUUAAUCCAGUCUCUGAUGUGAAUGGAGGGAAGAAAUGAUGUACAACAUAUUCCUUGCACCAAAAGCUCUGAAAAUGAAAUGUAAAUGUGUGAGUACGACACAAACUCCCUUUCUGUGAACACACACUCGCAGAGUUGCUGGAGUUGCCAAGAGCACAGCGAGCCAACCGAUGGCCUGUAUGUCUGUAAUUUACUGAAGGGAGGGGACAGGUCUAAUUUAUGAACUUGGCCCUCAGACCAGGGUUUACCUCAAUGCUUUUCAAUGCACAAAUUCUGUAAAUCUUUCUGGGAGAAGGAAUGUCAGCUCCCGCCAGGCUCUGGACAUGCCGAAAAUGUCACUCGCACAGAUGAUGACUUGUGUUUAAUUUGCUGUUGUGGAUGGGCCUGAACCAAACUCCCUUUCUUGUUCCAAGCAUCUCUAAAUUUAGGAGGUUUUGGCAACCCAGUCCAGAUAUGAGUCAAUAGUUCACUGUGUUCCAAAGAAUAAGUAUUAGCCUGCAAAGGUGGGAGUCGUUAUGUAACUGGGAUAAUAUAAAGGAAUAUCAGUAUUAAUACCUUUGUUAUGCUCAGAGCUAGAGGUUUGCCAAGGCUUAAGUGGACUCAGGAUGAGCUGGACACAUCCAAUUAAUAUAAGUAAUGUGGCUUUUCUUGAACAAAUGUGACUUCUCAGUGCACAUUACAGCUGCUGAGUGUUCCAGCUCUGCUGUAUCUGGUCCUCAGAGGGUUACAAAUGUGUAUUUUAGUGCUACAGACUGCUCUUAUUUCUGCAUUUGUUUGGUACUAAAUAAAUGGUUUCUGAUUUUCAGUGCUUCUGUCAGGGAAGUAAAAAAUACUGGUGUGGCUUACUGAUGGAUAUAAAAACCCCAGAGAAAAAAACACAGAAUAUGAAAUUAAGAAUUAUCUAUCCACAUGCAAAGUAAAUGUGCUAGAUCUCCCAUCCCUUUUCCUGAUGUCACUGCUGUGUUCACAAAUUCUGCAUCAAGUAAGUGUCUUCUAAGGCUCUUCUCAGUGAAUGUCUCAUCUGAAUUUCUUCCACUGAUGCCACAGUUAACACUGACCAUGUUCUGCUGCUCCUGUCUCUCGUCCACAGGGAAGUCACUCGUGUGUUUAUGGCAGCAUUGGAGUGCUGGCCCAGGCAGGGCAGGUGGAAAGUGAAUUCCUUGAGCUGUGCAGGUGCUUUGUCAAAUGUGCAAUUCUGCUCAGUUUCAAGAAAGGAAAACAGGAUUUUCUUCCACGGUCUCCUAUAGCACCCUUCAUUUUCUUUAAAUGUUUUGUGAUUGCCCCAUGAUCACGUACCAGUCUCAUUCCAGGAUCUUUCCUGAGGGACUGGGAUUUACCACUGGAAGAUAAAAAGAGAGAAAUGCAGUGGCACGGAUGAAGAUUAUUCCAAACCCUCUUCUGGCUUCCUCGGCUGGCAAGAUAGGCAGAUCUUCCAUCUCCUCCACUGCUUUCUCUGUGGCUCACCAUGAUCUGCAUGUGCACUCCCUCACAGGGCCCCUGACUGGAAUUCUGGAAUUGUCCUUUCAUCCCCCCCAGUGCUCCCUUGCUGCUCUGCACCAUGCUGGCUGUAGCACUGGGGGAGAAGCAGGUCUGUGCCUUCUCCUGUGCUGACUGAAGUGCUGAGCACUCUGAAUUACCCCCCUGGAAGCAGUGGGCAGAAUCAUGGAGCAGGCACAAUGAGCCACAUGAGGAUCAGCUUAGAGAGUUGGAUCAGUGACACUUUGCAGCAGAAUAAAAAGUGCUUAUUCUCUUUCCCAGCUGUUCUCCCAAGCACUUUGAGCAUUCAUUCGCCUCAGCACACAGGAGAUUUACGUAUCUCACUUCUACUGACAUGGCAGAAGAGACCCUCCUCACUUGCAGAUUUGUUCUUUUAAUAGGCAUCCAGCACAACUGGGAAUUAAGUACAUGUGUGUGUCCAACAGAGAAGAGACCAGAACCAGCUGUAGGCACAAAGAACUGCUUAGGAGGCCCAUUUUUUUGUGCUGAUUUGGCAACUCAUGGGACAGCCAAAUCUUCCUUUUUAGGAAUGGGGAGAAGAGGAAAAACAGAGGACCUCAUCUUCAGAUUGUAUCACCCAUGGAAGGGGAGAGAGCAGAGAGAGAAUGCUCCACAUGAGGUUCUCCUCUCCCCGAUAGGGCAGAUGGAGCAAAUAAGGUUCAUCGUGGGCAAAUGUGAGCUCAUUGUGGCUCCACUCAGAGCUGGCAGAGCAGCUGAGGUGUUCCAGGCUCUGAGUCAGUGAUAACUUCCUCUCCUGACUUCCUAAUUGAAGUUAGAGAUCCUCAAAGGUACCUGCUGCUCCCAGUCUGAGCUCUCUUAUACUCCAAACCUCUUCCAGUUGUAGAUCUUAUUGCAAGGACAUCAUGGAUUUGGGGAGAGACAGGUAAGGCCCUGUAGCCAUUCUCACCACAGAGAGAUGCAGGGGUGAGUCACCUGUGCCAUAAAAUGACAACACAAACCCAAGGAAUACAAUCCUCAGCCAGGUCCUUUUAGAAUUAGCCACACAAGAAGGUGAAUCUUAAAGACAAAAGGAAAUGGUGUUAGGAGGGAAGAAGUGGCAAGGACCGGAGGCCUUAAUUUGAUGCCAAGCAGUAUCUCAGAGAAAGCAAUCUCCCAGAGGAUUGUCAGAGAUGUGAAAUGAAUUGUAAGAGCUGCUUUACAGGCAUUUGUGGGCACACACACCUGCUUACAGCAAGGGAAAAGACAGUGCGUAAAUGUCUGGGAUAUUACAUAAAAGCUGUCUGGUAGGCUGGGCAGAGCAAUUAAAAUCCAUCUCGCUUAAACGAACCCUGAGUGCAGGUCAAACAAAUCUAAUUUUUAUUGUUCCUUAAGGAGAUGUCUGUACAGGAGACAAAAGGGGGAUGCAGCCGUCAGGUUAAAAAAUCAAGAUGCCUUUAAAAAAUUAAAUGUUCACAAUAUUGCUACAGCAAGCUGGAUAAAUGAUAUAUUACAGCGAUGGUUUAAAACUAAUUGAUGACUAAUGUUGUAAUGCAUUUGUAGCUACACUGAUCUAUUAUAUAUCUUGGCCAAGCUGAAGGGACACUUCAAGGAGAAAAAUUGCUAACUGUUUUAACCUGAUGGAACUCAGGGAAAAAAUAGUUACUUUACGAGAUAAAUGGAAAGGUUGUGACCUCCUAAUGUACAUCUGGGUCUUGCAAUGCAAAAUCAAAUUAUCAUUAAACAGAAUGUGAUCUGUGAUGGAAUUAAAACAACUACAAACCAGCACAGAAGUUUCCUCGGAGAAACACAAUAGCCCAGUUUGAGCUGGGAGCAGUGGCUGCAAAGCUGCCUGGCUAAAGAACUGGUGUAACAAGUUGGGAUGGAAUUGUUUUGCUCUGUAAUGAAAGCUGGUUUAAUUGGAGAGUGCAGGAAAAACGUAAGCAUCUUUGCAGCCAUUUAUAUAUGUAAGCCAUUCUAUAAACAUUACUUAAUUAGUGUAUAAAUCAUUAACAAUUUAGCCUAAGUCCUGAGUAAAAUGUGUCUCUCUGGCUUUUGCAGGGGAGACAGGAAGCCUCAUUUUCCCCUCCUCAUUUUUGUCAUGCCUGAGGCUCAUGCCCUCUGGGUUUUACCCGUACAGCUGGAAUUUGGAGGAGAUGUCAGUCAGGCUCUGCUUAUUUUCACAUCUAAUUCAUGCAAAAACCAGGUUUCCUCCUGAGGCAGUAAACUGGCCCAGAUUUGCUUCAAAGUUUGGCCCAGGUUCAGUGAAUGACUCACUUUAACUAAGGUACAUCCAUCUUCCUGGCUGGAACACGUGGUGGGAAGUGUUGUCAAAGAGCAGAGAUCCCCUAGAACCACAGCUCAGGGCUUCAGGACCUUGCAAAAGCAGUGACUCGUUCCCUCCCUGCUUUCCUGUCACCCAACAUUAAGGACAUCGAGUGGGUGUCCCAAAUAUUGCUGCUCAACCCAAAGUCCCAACGUGGGGUUUUGCAGGCUAAACACACUGCAAAGGGAUGGGAUGGACUGCUGGGAGAUGGGCUGGGAGGAAUUUCAGCAAGAAGCCUCCCUGGUCCUGGGAUCUGUGCAAAAUUCUAUGGAAUAAAUCUGGCAAUAGGUAACAGAUGAAGAUAACAUUGUGGGCCAUUGCCAAAAUAUGGAUUGACUUGAACAGGCUGUGAUUAAAAGGCAAAAAUACCACUCUCAACCUCUGAAUUGGUUCCCUCCAAUAGAAGUAUGUAAAAUGAAAGAGAACAAGCUAAUCAGGACACCCACCCAUUACAGGCGACACUAAUUUUCUUCUGCCUGAGAAAAAGUUAAAGUAGCAAGGACAUGACCAGCCUGUGAUAUCAUCUGAGAGCAUCAUGUUCCUCCAUGUAUUCUUCCGUGACAGAUUAACCUUCCAAUGGGUAGGGAAAUGCCUGCAAUACCAAACUGCAAAUAUGUUGUUCUUUGAAGGGUUUGGUGUACCAAAACCCCAAAAAGCCUUCAUAUAUUUUAACUGCUGUACAUCAGACUUCCUCCUCUGCAUUCACUCAGUUUUGGUUUGAAGCCCAAUACAACCAGCAGCUUGGAAAAGCAGUUUUAUAGCUCAAAAUGGAGCAGUUGGAGUUUUAAUUUGGGAGGUCCUUCUUUUACAGGGGGACAUUACUCUUGGUUCAAAAUUUUAAGUUAUUCAGGUCAUGGUAUUGGUGUCAAUUUUCAGCAUUGGAAACUCAGUUGCACAAGUAUCACUGAGCUGACUUAGAACAUUUAUUUUCUCAAAAGAUGGCAAACAGUCACAUCCACGUCUCUCUCUGGGAUUUCUUUCCUUCACUAACAUUUAAACAAAAUAACUCAGAUCUAUUUUUUUAUUCUAGAUCAAUGUGAUUUCUUAAAGCUUCAUGUUGAGCAGAUAAUCCUCAGAUGGGCCUUUUUUUUUUCAAAGCAGAAAAGCAUAUGAAAUAGCUUUUAAAUGAAACUUUGAGCUGCCAGUUCAUUUAAAAACAAUAAAGUAAGGUGGAAAAAACCCAGAGUUAACUUGAAGCAGGGCACUUGGCAUUCAAGGUGACUGUGAUAGGCAGUCACAAAGGAUGAGGAUCUCUCAUCAACCCUACGUCAGGUCCUGUGCCCAUGAUGGCAGAGUCGUGCCCUGCACAUGGAUUUGCUUCUUAGCUGCUGGCCCUCAGUGCCAGGAUUCCAUGGAAGGAAAUAUGGGACAAUUAGCUACAAUUCUAAUUUUCCAGUCCCAUAAGUCCCAAGAUUAUGACCUCCCAGUGUAUGCUGUGACCACAGGGAUGAGGUGUCCACCAGAACAUCCCAGGGCAUUUCCAUGACUGCAACAGACUGGAGGUAAGGAAACUCUUCUGGUGUUUGGAUACACUCACAAACAAUGAUCCCAGCAAUUCUUGGAGAGGGUGGAGUUACAUACCCAGUCACAUAUUCCUCCUCAUUUUGGAACAAUCAGAUAUAAAAUACUCUAAAAUAAGAAUGCAGUUGCCACUUAUUUCCUUCCUUAAUUUCUUAUCUUGCUUUAUCACAGCAUUCGUAGCUGUGGCUGACAGAAAUGGCAAAUACAUCCAGUAUUUCUGAUUUUUGUCAUGUCUUGCUUUUUAUAUCACUUUCAGCUUUUUUGACUAGCCAAUGACUCAAAAAGUUAAUGAAAGCCAUGAUAGUUUUAUCAUAGCUUUGGGAAGACAAGCUGCAAAAUCCAGAGGUUACCAAAGCAGAAUGAGAUUUUAAGGAAUGCUUGAAGCAGGUUCAUUCUGCUUCUUGUGCGAAUUGCAUCUGUGCCAAAGUUUCUUGUAACUCUUGUAAACACAUAAAAGCAUAUUCUACACAUAUUUCUGUCUAUGUUUUAAGUUACUGAGAGCUUUUGCUCCAUUUGAUUUAUACUAAGGCUUUAUGAUUGUCAGAUUAGUGUAAGAAUGCAAGUAGGAAAAUUAAAUUGUACCUUUGAUUGUCCUAUCAUUUUUCCAUGUUCUUUCAGAUAUUAUGUCAAUAGUCCAAAGGAGUUUUUGAUGUGAUGCACUGAAUAUUCUGACUUAUUCAUAAGAGACCUAAGAAUUGGGCACAUCAUUUACCAGCUCAUUGCUGUCACAAGCUAUUGCAUCCUUCUUCUCUCUUGACCCAAGCUCGAUUAAUCUUUUCAUAGUUUUGGUUCUGGUGUAGUUUUGAAACAGUGUUGAUUUUCCCAGGAAUCCUUAAGAACCUGAGCAUGUGCUUCAUGCUGUCUGGGCAGCUCAAACAACUGCAGAGGGAAGGGAAUAAUCUCCCCCAGAGCCUUGACAGCAUCAGAUUUCCACCCCGUCACAGUGCCCGGUACAUGCAGCGCUGGCAGGAAGAGCUGGGGAGACUCCUGUUUGCUGGGCCAUGACCUGUGGAGCUGCAUGAUUUUAGGAAAUACCAGGUUAGCUCCAGGAGCAGGGAAGUGUUAGAGCUCUUUGUUCCUGCACAGAAGUUUUCAACAUCAGUGAGAGCAUCAGUGUGUGUAUUCAGAUUUCCAUCUGUUAUCCAAAGCACUCUGUGAGAUCAGUCACGCCCAGAAUAUUUGAAGUUACCUAAAAUGUUGGCAAAUUAACAUCUCACAUUUUUUCUCCAGAGUUCUGAGUGGUGCAGACGUUCUGUUAAUCAUAUACUGCAAGCUCAGGCAAUACAUUAAGUAUGGAAAAUAGGUUUAUAUAACAAAGAUAAGGCAGAAUGAACUGGAUCCACAAAUGUCUCUCUACUCACUCUGUCUAUAAUAAUUUCAUUACAUUUCUUUGGGGUUUAUCCAGUUUUACUGUGACCACCUACUGACAAUGUCUCUGAAAUGAAAGAAGAAAAAUCACGGAAUUCUAACAUGCAAGACAUACAAAAUAAACCCUGUGACGUUUUCUAAUAUGGGAAUGUUCCUGAAUGCCAGACUAAAACAUCCCUCCAACGGUUUCUUUUACAGACUUCCCUUGUUCCAGAAACUUGGCCUGACUUAGGAGGAAACCCCAUAGCUGUCCCUUAAAAGUUGAAUUGCAUCAGUGUGGGCAAGAUGUUGGGCCAAAUUCCUUAAUGGUGCAAUUCCAUGAAAAUCAGAAAUCCUACACCAGAGCUGAAUCUGCCCUGUGGUAUAAAACUAUCUCCCUGAAGGCAAGACUUUUGGAAACAGUAUCAUAUUUUAAUUCUAAACAGACAAUUUGUUUUGGGUUGUACACAGAGCAUGACAAUCUCACUGCUACAUAAAAGGUGAUUUUAUACCUGUUUCUUGUGCUGUUUGGUUUAUCUGUGUGUGAUUUGCAGGUAGCUACACGAUCCUACAAACUUCUUUUUAUGUAAUGGAAUGAGCCCCUGUUCUGUUUUAAGAUUUUAAAAGAUUACAGAGCUGGCGUUGGAACAUUUGUACAUUUUGCAACGAGUUAAGGAGAAAGGCUGCGUGUUGUUUAUAAUCUGGGAAGUACAGAUCCCACUUAAUCUUACCCUUGGAGAACAGACAGUUAUAUUUUUUGCAAAUUAACAGAUCUUGACUGAUUGCCUCCCAUGACUGUGUUCACCAGUUUUGGAAUUCAAAGGGCAAAAUAGAAUCUGCCUUUUGUAGAAGGUGCCAGGAAUGGCAUCAGGACACACUGCCUGGAGGGUGGCUCAGCCUUUUCAGUCCUCCCCACACUGACUGGAUUUGGCACCACUGUGUGAUAUAUCACCACUGAAACAAAGUACUUCAUGCAAGCUGGUCAUAUCCUAUGGAAAAAGUCUUGGAAGGAUGUUGCAGAAAAAAAAAUAUUUAACCUCUGUUCGCCAUUUUUCUGGAGAUGUAAGGUAUUGUGAAAUUUGAGGAGAUUUUCACAGCUUGGCUUGUGAAAUUCAUUUCCAGCUUGACAGAUUGGGAUUUCAGGAUUUUGCACAUCUGGAUUUUGGCACAGGGCUGUGGGGGGGAUGUCUCUGGCAGUUUGCCUCCCAGGACAGUGUGUUUGCUCCUGGGCAGUGAAGAGUCCAGUCCUGGCUGAGCUGUCACCUGCCUGCCCUGCCCUGGGCAGUGUCUGUUCCACAAGGGAAAGACAGAGCUGGCCCUGACAUCACUGAGCUCAGGAAUCACUUGAACAAAAAUGUUAAUGAUAAAGUCAUGUUUCUAAAAUUCAAGGAGUGUAAGGGAUAGGCAAAAAAAAAGUUGUAGGGGUAUCUGUACUGUAUAUUCUGGGGAGCAAGCAAACAACAUUUUCACUUGCUGAAAACACUGUGUGCACAGACUACUGAGCACUCCCUCUGCCACACUGCACCAGUGGGCUGCUUUUCUGGCCAGGCAUUUUGGGAGGGGGUCUUCUCCUUCUGGCAAUCUUCCCAGAGGGGAACCAGUUGAUGAAACAGGACUUCAAGCCAGGAUUAUUUCAGCAUUCACACCACAGAAGGAGAGUUUACAAAGGUGGCAAGAGCCAUAAGCAUUUUCCUUUUGUGCAUCUCUGUGUGACAACAGAGUCAUCCUAUUUUCCCACCAGGAUCACACGGGAUCACAGAACCUCCCUUAUUCUUAUGGCUUUGGAAGUGUGGUUUCAAAAGAAAAAUCCCUGUGCUGUCUGGAAUGCUCAACUGUUGGGUACCAGAGUCGGAAAACAUCCUGCCUGCCACGAACGUUAGGAAAACAGAGCAGCCCUGACUCCAGUGCCAAGUGGUUUUUUGGAAGGCUGACUCCCCUGAGAAUAAAGGAUAUUGGUGUCCAGCCAAGUGGGCAGGCAGGAACAGGCCCUGGGCAAGACACUGGAAUUUUGGUGGAGGCUGAAAUAUUGUCUGCUUGUUUGUAUCAGCUUCUGACUUUGGUAUUAAAAGGUGAGCUGCCCAAAAAGUGAGGAAAUGGGCCACAAAUUGAUAAAAUUGGAAUUAUUUUUCUAGCUAUAUUUAGAGGAACUUAAAACAGGGAUUUUCCUUUUUGGCCACUCCAGUAUCCAAGAGUAACUUAAUAUUUCUGCUAAAACCAGAAAAAAUCCCCCAAAGGAAAUUUCCUUUUUUUUUCUAUUGUACACUCAAAAAUCCCUUCUUGUUGCAGAGAAUUCAUUUGGUUUUUACUUCCCCAUCUCCCUGUUAGAUGAAUAGUUCUGGUCUAACGGCCCAGUAAGCACUUCAUCCAGAGUAUUCCCCAGCUUCUGCUUCCUAUAACACUUGAAAAAGUGCUAUACUUCAUCAAAUGAGAUUAAAACCCACCCUUAGGUGCUUGUAUGAUCUGCCUAAGCACAUAAGCAAGCAGGAACUUUAUGAAAUAUUUUUUUCCCUUCCAAUUUUAUGUUAAUAAGCAUCUAAAUGGAAUUUUGGGGUGUUCAGAGGUCCAUUGCUGCUUGACAUUCACCAGAAGUCAGGAUGUUGGGGCAAAACUUGCACCCACUGAGCUCAAGAAAUGUUUUUGUGUUGAUCUUAACAGAGCAGGGUUGGGUCUUUAUUUCCUCAGCAGGAAAAUGUUCAUUCUGCCUCUUUCCCCUGCACACACAUAUUUUCUUUUUUUUACAGAAGGAGUCAUUUGUCUUUAUCUCACCAUUCACCUCUCUCACUGAUUACAGUUAAUGGAAUUGUCACCUUUAUGGACUCAUGCUCCAUUUCUCAACCUGUCUGGACUUUGGCCUCCAAAGGUUACCACAGCUAGUGAAGUAAUAUGAUUGAGUCUUUUUUGACAGAUUUAUGCAAGAUUUCUUCUCCAGCAAGUGUCACAUCUAGUCUAGUUCUGCAAAAGAGAAUAUUUCAAAGAUGCCAACUGUCAUCUAAACCCACUAAAUUGUUCUGUGGGGUUGAGAGGACUGAGGGCCAUCUUGGGCAAUGCUGAUUUACACUACCUGGAGCUGUUUCCCUGCUGCCUGAAAUACGGGCUCUGGUUAAUCAC